AACGCACAUUGCGCCCGCCAGUAUUCUGGCGGGCAUGCCUGUUCGAGCGUCAUUUCAACCACUCAGGCCCUGGUGCCUGGCGUCGGGGUAUUUCUGUAACAAGAAAUCCCCUAGAAUCAGUGGCGGACCCGCCGCGGCUCCGAGCGUAGUAGUAAAAUAUCUCGCUAUGGAGGUCCGUGGGGGGCUAACCGGCCGUAAAACCUCUUCUUUACUGAAGAACUUCUCAAGGUUGACCUCGGAUCAGGUAGGAAUACCCGCUGAACUUAA
rnacentral:misc_RNA from 1 species